rnacentral:rRNA from 1 species
UACGUAGGGAGCAAGCGUUGUCCGGAAUCAUUGGGCGUAAAGCGCGCGUAGGCGGCUCGAUCAGUCUGUUGUGAAAGUCAAAGGCUCAACCUUUGAAAGCCGAUGGAUACUGUCGAGCUAGAGUCCGGAAGAGGAGAGUGGAAUUCCUGGUGUAGCGGUGGAAUGCGCAGAUAUCAGGAAGAACACCCGUGGCGAAGGCGGCUCUCUGGGACGGUACUGACGCUGAGACGCGAAAGCGUGGGGAGCGAACAGG